GAUGAACGCUGGCGGCGUGCCUAAUACAUGCAAGUCGAACGAACAGGCCAGGAUCUUGCUGCUCUGACGUUGGCGGCGGACGGGUAAGUAGCAAGUGAAUAACCUAUCUAUAAGACUGGACUAACGUCAAGAAACGGGAGCUAAUGACGGAUAAUAUAUUGAACCGCAGGGUUCAGUAGUGGAAGGCGGUUUUGCUGUCACUUAUAGAUGGAUCCGCGCCGCAUUAGCUGGUUGGUAAGGUAACGGCUUACCAAGGCAACGGUGGGUAGGCGACGCGAGAGGGUGAGCGGGCACAGUGGAGCUGAGACGCGGUCCAGACUCCUACGGGAGGCAGCAGUAGGGAAUGGUGCGAGAUGGGCGAAAGCCUGACGGAGCAACGCCGCGUGAGUGAUGAAGGUCUUCGGAUCGUAAAACUCUGUUAUUAGGGAAGAACAAAUGUGUAAGUAACUAUGCACGUCUUGACGGUACUUGAUCAGAAAGCCACGGCUAACUACGUG
rnacentral:rRNA from 1 species